AGAACGAACGCUGGCGGCAGGCUUAACACAUGCAAGUCGAGCGCCCCGCAAGGGGAGCGGCAGACGGGUGAGUAACGCGUGGGAACAUACCCUCCGGUUCGGAAUAGCUCAGGGAAACUUGGAUUAAUACCGGAUACGGCCUAGCGGCGAAAGAUUCAUCGCCGGAGGAUUGGCCCGCGUUCGAUUAGCUAGUUGGUGAGGUAACGGCUCACCAAGGCGACGAUCGAUAGCUGGUCUGAGAGGAUGAUCAGCCACAUUGGGACUGAGACACGGCCCAAACUCCUACGGGAGGCAGCAGUGGGGAAUAUUGGACAAUGGGCGCAAGCCUGAUCCAGCCAUGCCGCGUGAGUGAUGACGGCCUUAGGGUUGUAAAGCUCUUUCGCUAGGGACGAUAAUGACGGUACCUAGACAAGAAGCCCCGGCUAACUUCGUAGCCAGCAGCCGC
rnacentral:rRNA from 1 species